rnacentral:rRNA from 1 species
AACGAACGCUGGCGGCAUGCCUAACACAUGCAAGUCGAACGAAGGCUUCGGCCUUAGUGGCGCACGGGUGCGUAACGCGUGGGAAUCUGCCCCUCGGUUCGGAAUAACAGUUAGAAAUGACUGCUAAUACCGGAUGAUGACUUCGGUCCAAAGAUUUAUCGCCGAGGGAUGAGCCCGCGUAAGAUUAGGUAGUUGAUGGGGUAAAGGCCUACCAAGCCGACGAUCUUUAGCUGGUCUGAGAGGAUGAUCAGCCACACUGGGACUGAGACACAGCCCAGACUCCUACGGGAGGCAGCAGUGGGGAAUAUUGGACAAUGGGCGAAAGCCUGAUCCAGCAAUGCCGCGUGAGUGAUGAAGGCCUUAGGGUUGUAAAGCUCUUUUACCAGGGAUGAUAAUGACAGUACCUGGAGAACAAGCUCCGGCUAACUCCGUGCCAGCCGCCGCGGUAA